AAUCGCGCCACAACCACCAGCCAAUCAGAACACAGCUCCUCCUUUGUCAAAUACCGCCUCGGUUUAAGCCACGCCUACAUAGCAUAAGUGGCGCCACAAGCCCUAUACAUGUGGCGGAUUGCGGAACUAAUUAGAGCGAGAUAGAGGUACGCUGGGCCGUUCGUUUCUCGCACAAUUUCCCCCAACCGAUCAUUAAGUGCUUAAAUCCAACAGGAGUUGGUUGUGUCGGGUUUCUUCGGAGGGGUACGCUAUUAAAAUAUCCACAAACAUUAUCUUUAAUUGGACAGAAUUUUGUGCUUGUGUGCGUCUGCGAGCGUGUUUUUUUUUCGAAGCCAGUGACGAUUCUGUUUUUUCGAAACUUGAUGACUGUUAUCAUUUGUGUUUAGUGUGUGGUGAUCGCCUGUGAUUUUCUAUAGUUUAACUCGACGAAUAAUAUGACUCGUUUAGACUCGAUACAGGAACCAGUGUUGUGAUUAAAAAUGACAUCGGUGACGUAAUAUUGGCGCGGCGAAAAUCGAAAUCGACUAUCGACGAAGUAAAAUUGGAAAAUGAUGCCACGUGCUUCGUAAUUGCUGAAUCGUAAUGCAUGGAUCGUUAAUUGAUAGGCAAUUAUCUUUCUGUCCUGUUCUUUCUAAUUGCUGGCAAUAAUAAAUUUGAUUGCUACGCCUUACUGUUCUAGUGCUGUACCCGAUCCGUUACAAAUAAAAAAAAAACCUUUCGAUACCAAAUUUUCGAUUUUUCAAAGAUCUUGAAGUGAAGGACCAGUGAACGAAAAGACCAGUGUAAAAUAUAGAAACUAAAUAAAAUUUUGUGUGACAAUAUUGUGGUGUUAAAAAAAUAUUUGUGAAAAAGUGAUGCUGUGUGAUAUCGCGUGAUUUCAACAAAAACCGCUAACCCAGCGGCCCCCUACACAAAAAGACCAUAAAAUCCCUCAAAAUUACUCGAAUUCAAUCCCCCAACAGCAAACCAACCACCCUGAGUUUCACAGAUCCGUUUGGGCCUCCCCAGUCUUCGGACGGGGGGGGCCCAUCCACUCCCCAGCCGGCCCUGACCACCCAAGAC